rnacentral:ncRNA from 1 species
ACGGAAGAGACCCCGACUCGAACGGGGCGCCGAAGGCGCAACCCGCCCGGAAACGCUCAGGCAAACGGACUGUGU